CUAGCGUUGUUCGGAAUUACUGGGCGUAAAGCGCACGUAGGCGGCUUUGUAAGUUAGAGGUGAAAGCCCGGGGCUCAACUCCGGAACUGCCUUUAAGACUGCAUCGCUUGAAUCCAGGAGAGGUGAGUGGAAUUCCGAGUGUAGAGGUGAAAUUCGUAGAUAUUCGGAAGAACACCAGUGGCGAAGGCGGCUCACUGGACUGGUAUUGACGCUGAGGUGCGAAAGCGUGGGGAGCAAACAGG
rnacentral:rRNA from 1 species